AGCAGCCGCGGUAAUUCCAGCUCCAAUAGCGUAUAUUAAAGUUGUUGCAGUUAAAAGGCUCGUAGUUGAAUUUCGGGAUCAAUAUUUCGGUCAUGCCGUUGGUAUGCACUGUUAUCAUUGAUUUCUCACCUUCUAAAGAACCGUAAUGCCAUUAAUUUGGUGUUACGGGGAAUUAGGACUGUUACCUUGAAAAAUUAGAGUGUUUAAAGCAGGCUCACGCUUGAAUACAUUAGCAUGGAAUAAUGAAAUAGGAAAUCCGAUUCUAUCUUGUUGGUUUCUAGGAUCGAUGUAAUGAUUAAUAGGGAUAGUUGGGGGCAUUAGUAUUCAAUUGUCAGAGGUGAAAUUCUUGGAUUUAUUGAAGACUAACUACU
rnacentral:rRNA from 1 species